rnacentral:snRNA from 1 species
AGCUUUGCGCAAUGGCAGUAUCGUAGCCAAUGAGGUUUAUCCGAGGCGCGAUUAUUGCUAAUUAAAAAAUGCAGGGAUGCUAGUGACCACUGGAUGUGCCAUCCUGGUAAUUUUAAAGGAAAAACCCAUGUA